rnacentral:rRNA from 1 species
UACAGAGGUCUCAAGCGUUGUUCGGAUUCAUUGGGCGUAAAGGGUGUGUAGGUGGCGCUGUAAGUCGGGUGUGAAAUUUCGGAGCUUAACUCCGAAACUGCAUUCGAUACUGCCGUGAUUGAGGACUGGAGAGGAGACUGGAAUUUACGGUGUAGCGGUGAAAUGCGUAGAUAUCGUAAGGAAGACCAGUGGCGAAGGCGGGUCUCUGGACAGUUCCUGACGC